GACGAACGCUGGCGGCGUGCUUAACACAUGCAAGUCGAGCGGAGCGGCGAACGGGUGCGUAACUCGCGAGUAACUGCCUCCCUCUCUGGGAUAACAGUUGGAAACGGCUGCUAAUACCUGAUAGUGGGGGAUGACUCGCGUCCUAUCAGCUUGUUGGUGGGGUAGUGGCCUACCAAGGCGACGACGGGUAGCCGGCCUGAGAGGGAGUCCGGCCACAUUGGGCUGAGAUACGGCCCAAACUCCUACGGGGGGCAGCAGAGGGGAAUAGUGCACAAUGGGGGAAACCCUGAUGCAGCGACGCCGCGUGCGAGAUGACGGGCUUCGGGUUGUAAACCGCUUUCAGCAAUGACGCGGUAGUGGCAGAAGAAGCACCGGCUAACUACGUGCCAGCAGCCGCGGUAAUUC
rnacentral:rRNA from 1 species